ensembl:lncRNA
GUUGGAAGUAAGAAGCAGGAAGCCUGUGUUCCUGUUUAUAGUUGUCAAGAGCUCUAGAGUGAAUCAAGCCAUCCAGCUGAUGUAUCAGUGGAGGCACUGCUUCAGAUACAAGUUAACGGAUGAAACCAAGCUGCCCAAUACGACAGCAAAGAAAGGAAAUUCACCAAUCUUGGCUAAAGACUCAAGCUACCUUCUGUGGAUGGUGAAUGCUGAUAGACAGCAUUACUGCUGGGAAGCAGAACAGUGCUGCCAGGUUCACAGUUUUCCAGUUUCCACACUGGAAAAUGCAGUCAUGGGUGAAAAAUGUAAAGUCACAAGAGCAAGAACCAUUAGCGGAUGUGCUAACAUGUUGGUGUGGGCGUUACUUAUGGGCCGUUGUCACUGGCCCCGAAUGCCGAUAAGGAUCACAUUUAGCACGGCUGUGGACUGAGAGAGACAGUGAUGUAUGCUGCAUAUGUCCUGCUUCCACAUGGUGAUGCUGCAAAGGCCUGGGUGGCGAAAUCAAUUUGUGGGACGGCC